rnacentral:rRNA from 1 species
CCUACGGGUGGCAGCAGUGAGGAAUAUUGGUCAAUGGCCGGAAGGCUGAACCAGCCAAGCCGCGUGAAGGACGAAGGUGCCAAGCAUUGUAAACUUCUUUUGUCACGGGACAAAAUCAGGCUCGAGAGCCUGACCGAGGGUACUUGAAGAAAAAGCAUCGGCUAACUCCGUGCCAGCAGCCGCGGUAAUACGGAGGAGGCGAGCGUUAUCCGGAUUUAUUGGGUUUAAAGGGUGCGUAGGCGGACUGUUAAGUCACCGGUAAAAGCCCGGGGGUCAACCCCGGCGGGCCGUUGAAACUGGCUGUCGUGAGGUGUCGAGAGGUAUUCGGAAUG